GCACAAGCGAUGGAGCAUUGUGGUUUUAAUUCGAAGCAACGCGAAGAACCUUACCAGGUCUUGACAUCCCGAUGCUUAUUUCUAGAGAUAGAAAGUUACUUCGGUACAUCGGUGACAGGUGGUGCAUGGUUGUCGUCAGCUCGUGUCGUGAGAUGUUGGGUUAAGUCCCGCAACGAGCGCAACCCCUAUUGUUAGUUGCCAUCAUUCAGUUGGGCACUCUAGCGAGACUGCCGGUAAUAAACCGGAGGAAGUGGGGAUGACGUCAAAUCAUCAUGCCCCUUAUGACCUGGGCUACACACGUGCUACAAUGGUUGGUACAACGAGUUGCGAGUCGGUGACGGCGAGCUAAUCUCUUAAAGCCAAUCUCAGUUCGGAUUGUAGGCUGCAACUCGCCUACAUGAAGUCGGAAUCGCUAGUAAUCGCGGAUCAGCACGCCGCGGUGAAUACGUUCCCGGGCCUU
rnacentral:rRNA from 1 species